rnacentral:rRNA from 1 species
ACCUGGGAUGAGGUAGGGAUACCCGCUGAACUUAAGCAUAUCAAUAAGCGGAGGAAAAGAAACCAACAGGGAUUGCCUCAGUAACGGCGAGUGAAGCGGCAACAGCUCAAAUUUGAAAUCUGGUCCUUUCAGGUCCCGAGUUGUAAUUUGUAGAAGAUGCUUCGAGCGUGGCUCCGGUCUAAGUCCCUUGGAACAGGGCGUCAUAGAGGGUGAGAAUCCCGUAUGUGACUGGCUGCCUCCGUUCAUGUGAAGCUCUUUCGACGAGUCGAGUUGUUUGGGAAUGCAGCUCAAAAUGGGUGGUAAAUUUCAUCUAAAGCUAAAUAUUGGCCAGAGACCGAUAGCGCACAAGUAGAGUGAUCGAAAGAUGAAAAGCACUUUGGAAAGAGAGUUAAACAGUACGUGAA